rnacentral:tRNA from 1 species
GGAAAUGUGCCCGAAACCCAAGGGCUACUUUGAUAGAGUAAAACACAGAGGUUAAAAUCCUCUCAUUUCCC